rnacentral:rRNA from 1 species
CCUACGGGAGGCAGCAGUGAGGAAUAUUGGACAAUGGAGGGAACUCUGAUCCAGCCAUGCCGCGUGCAGGAAGACUGCCCUAUGGGUUGUAAACUGCUUUUAUACGGGAAGAAACACCGCUACGUGUAGCGGCUUGACGGUACCGUAAGA